UACGAAGGGGGCUAGCGUUGCUCGGAAUCACUGGGCGUAAAGGGCGCGUAGGCGGCGUUUUAAGUCGGGGGUGAAAGCCUGUGGCUCAACCACAGAAUGGCCUUCGAUACUGGGACGCUUGAGUAUGGUAGAGGUUGGUGGAACUGCGAGUGUAGAGGUGAAAUCCGUAGAUAUUCGCAAGAACACCGGUGGCGAAGGCGGCCAACUGGACCAUUACUGACGCUGAGGCGCGAAAGCGUGGGGAGCAAACAGG
rnacentral:rRNA from 1 species